rnacentral:rRNA from 1 species
UACGUAGGGUGCAAGCGUUGUCCGGAAUCAUUGGGCGUAAAGAGCGUGUAGGCGGCUCGAUUAGUCCGCUGUAAAAGUCCAGGGCUCAACCCUGGGAUGCCGGUGGAAACUGUCGGGCUAGAGUCCGGGAGAGGCGAGUGGAAUUCCUGGUGUAGCGGUGAAAUGCGCAGAUAUCAGGAGGAACACCAAUGGCGAAGGCAGCUCGCUGGAACGAUACUGACGCUGAGACGCGAAAGCGUGGGGAGCAAACAGG